rnacentral:rRNA from 1 species
AGAGUUUGAUCCUGGCUCAGGAUGAACGCUAGCUACAGGCUUAACACAUGCAAGUCGAGGGGCAGCAUGACCUAGCAAUAGGUUGAUGGCGACCGGCGCACGGGUGAGUAACACGUAUCCAACCUACCGGUUAUUCCGGGAUAGCCUUUCGAAAGAAAGAUUAAUACCGGAUAGUAUAACGAGAAGGCAUCUUCUUGUUAUUAAAGAAUUUCGAUAACCGAUGGGGAUGCGUUCCAUUAGUUUGUUGGCGGGGUAACGGCCCACCAAGACAUCGAUGGAUAGGGGUUCUGAGAGGAAGGUCCCCCACAUUGGAACUGAGACACGGUCCAAACUCCUACGGGAGGCAGCAGUGAGGAAUAUUGGUCAAUGGACGCGAGUCUGAACCAGCCAAGUAGCGUGAAGGAUGACUGCCCUAUGGGUUGUAAACUUCUUUUAUAUGGGAAUAAAGUGAGCCACGUGUGGCUUUUUGUAUGUACCAUACGAAUAAGGAUCGGCUAACUCCGUGCCAGCAGCCGCGGUAAUACGGAGGAUCCGAGCGUUAUCCGGAUUUAUUGGGUUUAAAGGGAGCGUAGGCGGAUUGUUAAGUCAGUUGUGAAAGUUUGCGGCUCAACCGUAAAAUUGCAGUUGAUACUGGCCGUCUUGAGUGCAGUAGAGGUAGGCGGAAUUCGUGGUGUAGCGGUGAAAUGCUUAGAUAUCACGAAGAACUCCGAUUGCGAAGGCAGCUUACUGGACUGUAACUGACGCUGAUGCUCGAAAGUGUGGGUAUCAAACAGGAUUAGAUACCCUGGUAGUCCACACAGUAAACGAUGAAUACUCGCUGUUUGCGAUAUACAGUAAGCGGCCAAGCGAAAGCAUUAAGUAUUCCACCUGGGGAGUACGCCGGCAACGGUGAAACUCAAAGGAAU